rnacentral:rRNA from 1 species
GACGAACGCUGGCGGCGUGCUUAACACAUGCAAGUCGAACGGAAGGCCCGGCUUUUGUGGGGUGCUCGAGUGGCGAACGGGUGAGUAACACGUGAGUCACCUGCCCUUGACUUUGGGAUAACUUCAGGAAACUGGGGCUAAUACCGGAUAGGAGCUCCUGCUGCAUGGUGGGGGUUGGAAAGUUUCGGCGGUUGGGGAUGGACUCGCGGCUUAUCAGCUUGUUGGUGGGGUAGUGGCUUACCAAGGCUUUGACGGGUAGCCGGCCUGAGAGGGUGACCGGCCACAUUGGGACUGAGAUACGGCCCAGACUCCUACGGGAGGCAGCAGUGGGGAAUAUUGCACAAUGGGCGGAAGCCUGAUGCAGCAACGCCGCGUGCGGGAUGACGGCCUUCGGGUUAUAAACCGCUUUCGCCUGUGACGAAGCGUGAGUGACGGUAAUGGGUAAAGAAGCACCGGCUAACUACGUG